rnacentral:rRNA from 1 species
GACGAACGCUGGCGGCGUGCUUAACACAUGCAAGUCGAACGAAGAGCGAUGGAAGCUUGCUUCUAUCAAUCUUAGUGGCGAACGGGUGAGUAACGCGUAAUCAACCUGCCCUUCAGAGGGGGACAACAGUUGGAAACGACUGCUAAUGCCGCAUACGAUCUGACCUCGGCAUCGAGGAUAGAUGAAAGGUGGCCUCUAUUUAUAAGCUAUCACUGAAGGAGGGGAUUGCGUCUGAUUAGCUAGUUGGAGGGGUAACGGCCCACCAAGGCGAUGAUCAGUAGCCGGUCUGAGAGGAUGAACGGCCACAUUGGGACUGAGACACGGCCCAGACUCCUACGGGAGGCAGCAGUGGGGAAUCUUCCGCAAUAGACGAAAGUCUGACGGAGCAACGCCGCGUGAGUGAUGACGGCCUUCGGGUUGUAAAGCUCUGUUAAUCGGGACGAAAGGCCUUCUUGCGAAUAGUUAGAAGGAUUGACGGUACCGGAAUAGAAAGCCACGGCUAACUACGUG